rnacentral:rRNA from 1 species
UAGGGAAUCUUCCACAAUGGACGAAAGUACUGAUGGAGCAACGCCGCGUGAGUGAAGAAGGGUUUCGGCUCGUAAAACUCUGUUGUUAAAGAAGAACAUAUCUGAGAGUAACUGUUCAGGUAUUGACGGUAUUUAACCAGAAAGCCACGACUAACUACGUGCCAC